rnacentral:misc_RNA from 1 species
UUUCCGUUGGUGAACCUGCGGAAGGAUCAUUAUUGUAUAACCGAGGUGCGAGGGCUGUCGCUGACCCGAAAGGUCGUGCACGCCCGAGUGCCCUCACACACAUCCAUCUCACCCCUAUGUGCACCACCGCGUGGGUCCCCCUUUGGCUUGUUCGGAGGGGGGCUUACGCUUUCACACAAACUUUGUAUGCAGUGUAGAAUGUAUUUUUUGUUUUUGCGAUCACGCAAUCAAUACAACUUUCAACAACGGAUCUCUUGGCUCUC